rnacentral:lncRNA from 1 species
CAGUCAACCACUACUGUCUGCGAGGAGUUUUCUGUUUAGUAUGUGCUCAGCUUAAAAAACAUAAUAAAAAAUAAAAAGUAUUCUAUUUCAUACAACUUUGAUUUUCUAAUUGGCUUAGAUUAUUGUGGGGAAUAAAACAACAUUGAGAAGACAAAUCUCAGCAUGAGCAGCUGUUGCAGCAGAGUAGAGGAGGAACGAAGCAUGGCCCUGGGGAGGAUGAAGGGAAAGUUUUCAUAUGCUACCUGAGAACUUGUUUUGACAGGCGUUCCCACACUUGUGCUGUAACAACUGCUGGAACCAGUGGCAUGAAUGAUGCUGGACACAAGAUAUGUCCUGAAAAGAGGACUUCUUUUGGAGAGACACGAAGACACACUGGCAUGCCUGAAAGAAAUGAUUAAUGAGGAGAGCAAAAAGAAAAUUUUGGGACGUGGUGAAAGAUAA